GAGAGAGAGAGAGAGAGAGAGAGAGAGAGAGAGAGAGAGGAAUUUUCACCAGCUGGGGGGUGGGUGUUACUGGGAGCAGACAAGAUUGAAAGGCGUUGCUGCUGAUCUUUGGUAGUAGCAGAAUUGAUCGUAAUAUUAUCUUUGGGAGAGGAUCUGGAUCUGUCACGCUUGUCAAGGGCUUGCUUAAUUCGCUUCAAAUCUUCGUUAUGCGAAACCCGAUUCAUCUCCGUCUUAGAUCCCACCCCAACUCCUCUUUUGCUAUACAUAUCUUUCUCCCACUAAUUACUUUCUAUUAGUAUUUAAAUUAGGGGUGGGGUAGUCGCAGUAAGGGAUGGUACCGCCGAGAAGACCUAUAUUAGCACAGGCCAAGUAGUCUCUCUCACCCUUCACCACAGUGAUAACACAAGUCACCUUGUGUUCAUUUUUACCGUCCCGCCUGGCCGCCUCAGCAACUUAUCCAAGUACCCAAUUAUUAUUUUUUCCCUUUAUAUAUUUUCAUAUUUGUAUUUUUAAUUUAACAUAUUUAUAUUGUUCUUGGUUCUUUCCAUAAUUUUUAAAAAAAUUAUCCAUAUAAUAUUAUACAUAUAUAUAUUAUAAAAAAAUUUGAGUAUUGUAGUACAAAAUUGGAUAAAAUAUAAUUUUAUCAUUUAAUUUUUAAUUUUUUCUAUAAUAUUUGUAAGCAUCUGACAACAUGCGAAAAAAAGUCAUGGAUAUCAUAAUUUGAAGUCAAAAUGUCCUGAAUACCAGAUUCUGAAAAAAUGACCCCUCACUCAAAUACACGCAUUAGGUUAAGCAAUGUUAUGAGAAUAUUUUACAUGAUUUUGGGCUUGAAAUGUUAGAUAAAGUAACGUCAUAACCUAACGUUACACUACGUAACUUUAGUUUUUUUAGGAUCUACUUGUGUUUUGCUUAUGAGCUUGAGCUGAAAUAAGAGAUAAACGUUUUAUUGUAUAACAUUUUCAAUAGAAAUUGUAAACGUUAUACAAUGUAACGUUAUAAAAUGAGAUUUGGGACCAUAUUUCUGGAUCUUAUAUUUAGUGCAUCAAUGCUUCAAAUUGUGAUACGCAUGGCCAAUAUCCAUAUCAUGUUGAUCAUGUUUAUAAAUCUUGUAAUCAAAAGAUAGAGCAAUUAUUUUAUAAAUCGCAGGACACUAUGUCCUACA
rnacentral:lncRNA from 1 species